rnacentral:miRNA from 1 species
AGAGAAGGUGAGUGUCUUUCCCUGUGUCUGAGUCCUUGGGGGGGGGAGGCAGAGCAUGAGUGGAGGGGCUCCCUGCUCCCUGCGUGCUGUCUACUCUCCUACAGGUGGACCUGGCAGUGGUGGAGGUGGGCAUUGGUG